AAAUUUAGGUUAAUUAUAAACCAAGGACCUUCAAAGCCCUAAAUAGAGUUCAUCUAAUUUCUG
rnacentral:tRNA from 1 species